GGAAAUGCUCAACUUUAUUACUAUAUGAAACUGCAAUCGUGUAAAAAUAACGCAGGUCAAGAUCAGCAGCAAGAGCCAAAACAAAACAUUAAGAAAGAUACAUUUCCUAAAAUAAAGAUGGACCAUUUCAAUAUUAUAAGCAAUCAGAAGAAGCUCAAGCUUUUGUCAUCAGAACUAUUGUUGCCUGCAGUUAUCUCUUUCCCUCUCUCCAAGCAUCCAAAAAAACAUAAUCAAAAUUGCAAUUUUAUUUUUUGUCUUAUGGAAGUGUGGCUCUGAGUUCUUUCCUAUCUGCUCCAAAGACCUCAACUCCAAACCCUUUCACAU
rnacentral:misc_RNA from 1 species